rnacentral:rRNA from 1 species
UACAGAGGGUGCGAGCGUUAAUCGGAAUUACUGGGCGUAAAGCGCGCGUAGGCGGCUUUGCAAGUCGGGUGUGAAAUCCCCAGGCUUAACCUGGGAACUGCAUUCGAGACUGCAUUGCUAGAGUAUGGGAGAGGGAAGUGGAAUUUCCGGUGUAGCGGUGAAAUGCGUAGAUAUUCGGAGGAACACCAGUGGCGAAGGCGGCUCACUGGUCCGGAACUGACGCUGAGGUGCGAAAGCGUGGGGAGCAAACAGG